AAAAAAAAAUUUCAAUAGUUUAUGCCUAGGAAGUUUAUGUGCCAUAACUGUGCAUGUUGAACUGUAUAGUCUUUACGAUAACUUGAAGCAUCCGGUAUACUAAUUCAAUUGCAUCUUACUCGGGCCCAAAUUAUUUCCAGUAGCUACACCUCCAACUCAAGCCAUCAAUUUCUCAAUCAUGGCAUUAUUUGACGAGAAAAGAACACUUGCAGUUGUUAUACUUUCCUACCCUUAACUUUGCAACCAUUUUCAAACACCGAACAAAACCGCUCAGUAGUUGAAGGAUGGAUGAUUAUAUUACAAGAAAAGGCUGGAAUAUAAGCGUCUGUGUUUAAUUCAGAGAAGAGUCCUCGGUCAGCAAAA